CACUGACCUUUCACCUUGCUUCCUUGAGCGUCUGGCAAAAAUAUCUCCAUUGAGACAGAGAGGGGUAUUUUUUUAUAUACACCCCUAUAUGCUUAUUAACCCAUAAUAGGGAACCCUUUCUGUCUCAAUGGAGAUAUUUUUGCCAGAAGCUCAAGGAAGCAAGGUGAAAGGUCAGUGU